rnacentral:rRNA from 1 species
AUUGAACGCUGGCGGCAUGCCUUACACAUGCAAGUCGAACGGCAGCGCGGGGCAACCUGGCGGCGAGUGGCGAACGGGUGAGUAACAUAUCGGAACAUACCCUAGAGUGGGGGAUAACGUAGCGAAAGUUACGCUAAUACCGCAUACGCACUAAGGUGGAAAGUGGGGGAUUCGCAAGAACCUCAUGCUCAUGGAGUGGCCGAUAUCUGAUUAGCUAGUUGGUGAGGUAAAGGCUCACCAAGGCGACGAUCAGUAGCUGGUUUGAGAGAACGACCAGCCACACUGGAACUGAGACACGGUCCAGACUCCUACGGGAGGCAGCAGUGGGGAAUUUUGGGACAAUGGGGGCAACCCUGAUCCAGCAAUGCCGCGUGAGUGAAGAAGGCC